CCUACAUCAAGUUGUUUUCCCAGCAGCCAUCGGUAAAUGGUCUGGCUGAAGUUGAUAUCGGUAAAUAUCAAAGUUUUAACCAUCGGUAAAUGGUUUUGAUUUUCAGAAGUUGUUUUCCCAGCAGCCAUCGGUAAAUGGUCUGGCUGAAGUUGAUAUCGGUAAAUAUCAAAGUUUUAACCAUCGGUAAAUGGUUUUGAUUUUUAGAAGUUGUUU
rnacentral:lncRNA from 1 species